rnacentral:rRNA from 1 species
GACGAACGCUGGCGGCGUGCUUAACACAUGCAAGUCGAACGGAAAGGCCCUGCUUUUGUGGGGUGCUCGAGUGGCGAACGGGUGAGUAACACGUGAGUAACCUGCCCUUGACUUUGGGAUAACUUCAGGAAACUGGGGCUAAUACCGGAUAGGAGCUCCUGCUGCAUGGUGGGGGUUGGAAAGUUUCGGCGGUUGGGGAUGGACUCGCGGGUUAUCAGCUUGUUGGUGGGGUAGUGGCUUACCAAGGCUUUGACGGGUAGCCGACCUGAGAGGGUGGCCGGCCACCUUGGGACUGAGGUACGGCCCAGACGCCUACGGGAGGCAGCAGUGGGGAGUAUUACACAAUGGGCGGGAGCCUGAUGCAGAAGCGCCGGGAGCGGGAUGACGGCCUUCGGGUUGUAAACCGCUUUCGCCUGUGACGAAGCGUGAGUGACGGUAAUGGGUAAAGAAGCACCGGCUAACUACGUG